rnacentral:rRNA from 1 species
GACAGAGGGGGCAAGCGUUGCUCGGAAUUACUGGGCGUAAAGGGCGCGUAGGCGGGAUGGCAAGUCGGUCGUGAAAUCCCUGGGCUCAACUCAGGGGGGUCGGCCGAUACUGCCAUUCUUGAGGGAUGCAGAGGAGACUGGAAUUCCCGGUGUAGCGGUGAAAUGUGUAGAGAUCGGGAGGAACACCGGUGGCGAAGGCGGGUCUCUGGGCAAUUCCUGACGCUGAGGCGCGAAAGCGUGGGGAGCAAACGGG